rnacentral:rRNA from 1 species
UACGGAGGAUGCAAGCGUUAUCCGGAAUUACUGGGCGUAAAGCGUGCGCAGGCGGUUUUGUAAGUCUGUCGUGAAAUCCCCGGGCUCAACCUGGGAAUUGCGAUGGAGACUGCAAGGCUAGAAUCUGGCAGAGGGGGGUAGAAUUCCACGUGUAGCAGUGAAAUGCGUAGAGAUGUGGAGGAACACCGAUGGCGAAGGCAGCCCCCUGGGUCAAGAUUGACGCUCAUGCACGAAAGCGUGGGGAGCAAACAGG